rnacentral:rRNA from 1 species
UACGUAGGGAGCAAGCGUUGUCCGGAAUCAUUGGCGUAAAGCGCGCGUAGGCGGCCGGUAAGUCCGUCGUGAAAGUCAAGCUCAACUUUGAAUGUCGAUGAUACUGCGGGCUAGAGUCCGGAAGAGCGAGUGGAAUUCUGGUGUGCGGUGGAAUGCGCAGAUAUCAGGAGGAACACCAAUAGCGAAAAGGCAGCUCGCUGGGGACGGUACUG